UGAUACAGAACAAAUUGAGCACGACAGA
rnacentral:piRNA from 1 species